CAUCAUCAGUGGAGAGUCAGGAGAAGACAGAAAUACAAGUCAAUGGGGAGCAGGUCAAAGUCUCUGUACCCAAUGAUCCCAUAGCAACCUUCAUGACUCAUGUACUACUUCAACACUGUCUCCAGCUGCUUCACUCAACUUAAGAUGCAUAUUGAUGUCCUUAUGCUGUGUAAAAAGUUUGAGGUACUUCUCCUGGUGGCACUUCCCUUCCAAUCAUAAUAGGAUCAAUAUUUAGACUAGUAACAGUUUCCUAAUUUUGACACACCCAUUUUAAAUUACACUUCCUUAUAUUCCUCAUCAACAAUAGGUAAGUUACAUAUUACUUUACACUAUUAAUGCCACACCCAUACCUUUACAGUACUAUACUGUGUACAAGUAAAGUAAAAAUUAAUUUUUUAUUGGGCGAAGCCCUUACUUACAAGAACUUGAACGUA